rnacentral:lncRNA from 1 species
AAAAUAAUGUUUGUGCUAUAUAUGAUAGGACCAAAAAUUAGAAUAAAUGGAGUCUGAAAAAAGAACAUUAAAGACUCCCAUACACAAUGUGCAUCAUUUACAAUUAACAAAAAAGUAUGAACCUUCUCUUAUAUCCCUGCUAUGACUCUAAGUCAUAAUUUAAGGCCACUUUUAUACCUCACCAAAAUGAUUAUCUCUGUAUUAAAAAUUUUAAAAUUUUAAUUUAAGAAACAGCUUUUUAUUGAGACAAAAAGCAAAUAACAAGGAGCUUCAAAAGAAAAGAGAGCAGCUACAGCUAAAGGGGCAUAGCAGCUCAUCUUUAAGAACUAAAACUAAAUAAAGAGAUUAUACCACAGUUGCUUCCCAGUUAAGAAUAAUGGAGAAAGACUAUAAUCCUUAAAUUCCUAAGAAGUAUAAGCCCCUAAAGAUGCCUAGAACUUGACUCUCUCCCACAGGUCUUCUGUCACAUCCCGGGACCCGCUCCGCCGUAACACGAUAUUGUCCGCUUUGGGCCCACCGGCCCUCACGGUUUUUGUUUCCUGCAGCUCAGGAGCAGCUUCCCAGUAGGUCACCCAUCCUGGGAUUGCUCUAGCAUCAACAUGCUUAACCUCGGAGUACCCAUCCCCUCCGAAGCCGCUGAGCCACCAAAAGGCCUCGUGUUAGAUUGGAGGUGGACAUGUACAUAUACAGCACAUAACCCCUCUCCGUUUGGCCGAUGUGGGAUAUUACAAUCCACCCCCUCUUGGGAGCCCGACGCCCUCGUCGGCACACUCGCACCACACGGCAGAGUGGCUCUGAUACCAUUUGUCACAUCCCGGGACCCGCUCCGCCGUAACACGAUAUUGUCCGCUUUGGGCCCACCGGCCCUCACGGUUUUUGUUUCCUGCAGCUCAGGAGCAGCUUCCCAGUAGGUCACCCAUCCUGGGAUUGCUCUAGCAUCAACAUGCUUAACCUCGGAGUACCCAUCCCCUCCGAAGCCGCUGAGCCACCAAAAGGCCUCGUGUUAGAUUGGAGGUGGGCAUGUACAUAUACAGCACAUAACCCCUCUCCGUUUGGCCGAUGUGGGAUAUUACAUCUUCCCUCUCCACCCAACUAUAGGUUUCAAAUAUUCUUCUAUUUCUCUCCAUCCAGACCACCCAGACUACUGCUAGCAUCCCACAAGCCCCAAGAAUUCUGGCUUUAUUUCCUUUUCCAAAAGCUGAAAGAUUUUCUUUGAACAAAUCAUUCCUCUCUGAUGGAGCUGUCCAGACCACUUUUGCCACCCUAAAUAAUUUCUUCCAUAAGAAAACUUCACAAUGCACAAAGACAUGAUCAACACUUUCCCCUUGAGCCUUGCACAAAAUGCACCAAUGAGGGGCAAAACAGCAACCUGGGUCUUCUCCUUUGAAGAACAUCAAAAGUGUUCAACCUCCCGUGUGCCACAAGCCAACCCAAUAUUUUUACCUUAGUAGGGGCCUUGGAGUUCCAAAUAAACUUUGCAGGCACAAAGAUUGGGUCUAGUCCACUACUAAUUAGGAAUCUAUGAAAAGAGUUAGAAGAGAAUCUCCCAGUAGACUCGAGCUUCCAUCUCCUUUCAUCUGGUUUGGAUUCAACUAAUCGAACAUUUUCUAGCUUAGCCAUCAACGAGGCAAACUCCUCAAUCUCCUGUUCAUUCAGAUUUCUUCUGAAUCCAAAAUCCCAGAUCAUCGGAAAACUAGAGUGAACAACUAAUCUUUCCACCAAAGAAUUGGUGUGUCUCGAAAGUCUGAACAACCUUGGAAAGUCGAAUCUCCAGGGUUGAUCCUCUAACCAACAAUCUUCACAAAACCUCACCCUUUUGCCAUUUCCUACAACUAGUUUAUGACAAUGGGAAAAUGCACUUAAACCAGCUGAAAUAUGUUUCCAGGGGCUUCAACUUGAUCUGCCCAAAAAUAGUUUUAAAUCCCAACCGUUCUCAUCGUACCCAUAUUUACUCCUUACUACAGCGUGACAUGGAUUCUCGCUCCAAACGAAAUCUCCAAAGCCACUUCCCUAUAAAAGACUUGUUUCUUGCAAUUAUGUUCCCAAUCCCCAGCCCUCUUUCUCUACUUUUUGACACAAUCUCCCAGCUGCAUCUUUAUAAAGGGCCACUUUCCACUCCAACAUGAAGCAAAGGGAACGAGGCAUGGACUACUGUUGCUAGUUUUACCACCAAGAUACUGAAUUUUGACCUAAACUGAAUGCUUAUUCAUGCCUCGUGACAAAAUUUUGGUGGCUGAUCAUUUGUUCAGUCAUUGACAAUUCCAAAUUUAUUGUUAAGCUCUUAGCAUUCGUUAUUGUUAGCAGGCACGUAGAUGUAUGAUUCACGAGCAUCAGCAAUAUAUACAGCAAUACCAAUAUGUAGAAGUUCCUAAUCAAGUAUUUCUUAACUUUUAGUUGUUUAUGAUGAAAUUGUUCUCGCCAACAAAUCUUUCAGUAGUCGAUUUCAAAAAGAAAAGUAUUCAG